UUAGAAAAGAGGAUGCAAGAUAUAGUAGCUAAGGCUAUGAAACACCUCCUUGAAGAAAGAGAGACAGGAGGGAACCACGGUAGGAGUUCCAGAGCCGCCUCUCCUAACAAGCCUGAUCAGUCUUUUACUUCUGAUCAGCAGGGGGCCAAAAGCAAACAAAAAACCUAGAAGUAGCGGUGAAUGAUUCAGGCCACAUUUAUCGCUUCGUGUAUGCAUGCCAAUGGUCUGACAAACCUGAACCUGCUAUUAUGAUUCCAACAGGACCGGACAGAACUGCUGUGAAGUAUCUAAUAGAUACAGGCGCACAAAUUACAGUGCUAAAUGUGCAACUGGCAAAAAGCCUAAGAAUCCUGCCAUCCAGGAGAAAGGUAAAGAUAAUGGGUGUCACAGGACAGCCCAACCUAUGUCCCUUGGCUAAAACAAGAUUAUGGUUGCCUGGGGAAAAAAGGAGCACUAUAGUAGAAGUGGCCUUAAGUCCCUAUCCAGGAAAUAUUCUGGGAUUUGAUGUUUUGGCAGGCAGGAGAUGGCAUCUUCCAGAUGGUACAUUAUGGAGCUUUGGUUAUUAUGAAAUGGGGGCAAAAGGGGCAAAAUCAGCUCAUGCUCGUGUCCGAAUGUUGCAAACUGCUCCUCCACUACCAAAAUCACAAAUUACUUGUGUUGCACAAUAUCCAUUACCAGCAGCAGCUAGGCAAGGCAUUACUGAAGUGAUAACUGACCUGGAGAAAAGGAAGAUCAUCACCAGAACACAUUCUCCUUACAAUUCACCCGUCUGGCCAGUCCGCAAACCAGAUGGCAGGUGGAGAUUAACUAUUGACUUUAGAAAACUCAAUAAUAACACUCUUCCUCUCACUGCAGCAGUUCCAAGUUUAUCUUCCACAGUGACAGCCAUUCAAGCAGCUUCUCACGCCUGGAUGGCAACUAUGGAUGUGAAGGACAUGUACUUCAUGGUGCCACUGAGAGAAGAGGACAAACCACAGUUUGCAUUCACCUGGCAAGCAACCAGCUCAAGACUGCACCGUUCCGGACAAGGGCCCGAUCCUUACGAGCCCCGGGAGUCAGCAUGCAGCUCGACCGGACCCGUGGAGCCUCGGACAACGUGCCUUAAAAUCCAUAAAGACUUUGAAACUUCUCUGAACUGCAUUUGGGACAGUGAGUAAUUGAUAAACUUCUAUUUGAAACUGAAUAACUUCUCAAGACUUCAAUGAACUCUCUCAUAUCAUAAACUCUCUUCAUUUUAGUCAUUCUGUAUAUUAAAUCUCAACUACGAACCAAGAAUCUACGCGGGAUAAUUACAAAUAAGUUUGGGGAAGGGGAUUUCUAGUGUAUAAUAUUAAAUUACUUAUACCUUUUUACAAAA